CAGCCGCCACGGGAAAACGAAGGGGGCUAGCGUUGUUCGGAAUUACUGGGCGUAAAGGGCGCGUAGGCGGCCAUUCAAGUUAGAUGUGAAAGCCCUGGGCUCAACCUAGGAAUUGCAUUUGAUACUGUUUGGCUUGAGUUCGGGAGAGGCGAGUGGAAUUCCGAGUGUAGAGGUGAAAUUCGUAGAUAUUCGGAAGAACACCAGUGGCGAAGGCGACUCGCUGGACAAGUAUUGACGCUGAGGUGCGAAAGCGUGGGGAGCAAACAGGAUUAGAUACCCCGGUAGUCCCUGUCUCUUAUAC
rnacentral:rRNA from 1 species